rnacentral:rRNA from 1 species
AGACCCGAAACCCGGUGAUCUAGCCAUGGGCAGGUUGAAGGUUGGGUAACACUAACUGGAGGACCGAACCGACUAAUGUUGAAAAAUUAGCGGAUGACCUGUGGCUGGGGGUGAAAGGCCAAUCAAACCGGGAGAUAGCUGGUUCUCCCCGAAAGCUAUUUAGGUAGCGCCUCGUGAAUUCAUCUCCGGGGGUAGAGCACUGUUUCGGCUAGGGGGCCAUCCCGGCUUACCAACCCGAUGCAAACUGCGAAUACCGGAGAAUGUUAUCACGGGAGACACACGGCGGGUGCUAACGUCCGUCGUGAAGAGGGAAACAACCCAGACCGCCAGCUAAGGUCCCAAAGUCAUGGUUAAGUGGGAAACGAUGUGGGAAGGCCCAGACAGCCAGGAUGUUGGCUUAGAAGCAGCCAUCAUUUAAAGAAAGCGUAAUAGCUCACUGGUCGAGUCGGCCUGCGCGGAAGAUGUAACGGGGCUAAACCAUGCACCGAAGCUGCGGCAGCGAACGUAUCACCCAAGACAACUUUACGGAGUUGACGAUUGACGGAGCGAAGCGACGUCAAAGCGUUCAUUAAAGUCGAGUUGGCUUAGGGAUACGUUCGUUGGGUAGGGGAGCGUUCUGUAAGCCUGUGAAGGUGUGUCGUGAGGCAUGCUGGAGGUAUCAGAAGUGCGAAUGCUGACAUAAGUAACGAUAAAGCGGGUGAAAAGCCCGCUCGCCGGAAGACCAAGGGUUCCUGUCCAACGUUAAUCGGGGCAGGGUGAGUCGACCCCUAAGGCGAGGCCGAAAGGCGUAGUCGAUGGGAAACGGGUUAAUAUUCCCGUACUUGGUGUUACUGCGAAGGGGGGACGGAGAAGGCUAUGUUGGCCGGGCGACGGUUGUCCCGGUUUAAGCGUGUAGGUGUGUGUUCCAGGUAAAUCCGGUUCACUUUAACACUGAGGCGUGACGACGAGGCACUACGGUGCUGAAGCAACAAAUGCCCUGCUUCCAGGAAAAGCCUCUAAGCAUCAGGUAACACGAAAUCGUACCCCAAACCGACACAGGUGGUCAGGUAGAGAAUACCAAGGCGCUUGAGAGAACUCGGGUGAAGGAACUAGGCAAAAUGGUGCCGUAACUUCGGGAGAAGGCACGCUGACACGUAGGUGAAGUGAUUUACUCAUGGAGCUGAAGUCAGUCGAAGAUACCAGCUGGCUGCAACUGUUUAUUAAAAACACAGCACUGUGCAAACACGAAAGUGGACGUAUACGGUGUGACGCCUGCCCGGUGCCGGAAGGUUAAUUGAUGGGGUCAGCGUAAGCGAAGCUCCUGAUCGAAGCCCCGGUAAACGGCGGCCGUAACUAUAACGGUCCUAAGGUAGCGAAAUUCCUUGUCGGGUAAGUUCCGACCUGCACGAAUGGCGUAAUGAUGGCCAGGCUGUCUCCACCCGAGACUCAGUGAAAUUGAACUCGCUGUGAAGAUGCAGUGUACCCGCGGCAAGACGGAAAGACCCCGUGAACCUUUACUAUAGCUUGACACUGAACAUUGAGCCUUGAUGUGUAGGAUAGGUGGGAGGCUUUGAAGUGUGGACGCCAGUCUGCAUGGAGCCGACCUUGAAAUACCACCCUUUAAUGUUUGAUGUUCUAACGUGGACCCGUAAUCCGGGUUGCGGACAGUGUCUGGUGGGUAGUUUGACUGGGGCGGUCUCCUCCUAAAGAGUAACGGAGGAGCACGAAGGUUGGCUAAUCCUGGUCGGACAUCAGGAGGUUAGUGCAAUGGCAUAAGCCAGCUUGACUGCGAGCGUGACGGCGCGAGCAGGUGCGAAAGCAGGUCAUAGUGAUCCGGUGGUUCUGAAUGGAAGGGCCAUCGCUCAACGGAUAAAAGGUACUCCGGGGAUAACAGGCUGAUACCGCCCAAGAGUUCAUAUCGACGGCGGUGUUUGGCACCUCGAUGUCGGCUCAUCACAUCCUGGGGCUGAAGUAGGUCCCAAGGGUAUGGCUGUUCGCCAUUUAAAGUGGUACGCGAGCUGGGUUUAGAACGUCGUGAGACAGUUCGGUCCCUAUCUGCCGUGGGCGCUGGAGAACUGAGGGGGGCUGCUCCUAGUACGAGAGGACCGGAGUGGACGCAUCACUGGUGUUCGGGUUGUCAUGCCAAUGGCACUGCCCGGUAGCUAAAUGCGGAAGAGAUAAGUGCUGAAAGCAUCUAAGCACGAAACUUGCCCCGAGAUGA